UGAGGAAUAUUGGUUAAUGGACGAGAGUCUGAACCAGCCAAGUAGCGUGCAGGAUGACGGCCCUAUGGGUUGUAAACUGCUUCUGUUUGGGAAUAAUCGACAUUACGUGUAAUGUUUUGCACGUACCAUUCGAAUAAGGACCGGCUAAUUCCGUGCCAGCAGCCGCGGUAAUACGGAAGGUCCAGGCGUUAUCCGGAUUUAUUGGGUUUAAAGGGAGUGUAGGCGGUUGGUUAAGCGUGUUGUGAAAUGUAGAUGCUCAACAUCUGACUUGCAGCGCUAACUGGCUGACUUGAGUACACACAACGUAGGCGGAAUUCAUGGUGUAGCAGUGAAAUGCUUAGAUAUCAUGAAGAACUCCGAUUGCGAAGGCAGCUUACGGGAGUGUUACUGACGCUUAAGCUCGAAGGUGCGGUUAUCGAACAGG
rnacentral:rRNA from 1 species